UACCCGCUGAAUUUAAGCAUAUCACUAAGCGGAGGAAAAGAAACUAACAAGGAUUCCCCCAGUAACGGCGAGUGAACAGGGAAGAGCCCAGCACCGAAUCCCUCGUCGCAUCGACGAAGGGAACUGUGGUGUUAAGGACGUUUCCAUGCCGGCGGUUCUGCUCGGGCACCAAUGUCCUCCGGACCGGGGCUUCAUCCAGAGCGGGUGUCAGGCCCAUGUCGGUUGCCGCGAGCCCGUCGCUCGGAGCGUCCGUGGAGUCGGGUUGUUUGAGAAUGCAGCCCAAAGUGGGUGGUAAACUCCAUCUAAGGCUAAAUACGGGCACGAGACCGAUAGCGGACAAGUACCGUNNNNNNNNNNNNNNNNGAACUUUGAAGAGAGAGUUCAAGAGUACGUGAAACCGUUUAGAGGUAAACGGGUGGACCCGCAGAGUCCGUCCGGGGGAUUCAGUUCGGCAUCUGUUCCGCGGAGCGAGMUGGUUCACGAUCCCUCCCUGGCCCUCGGGCCGGAGAGGACGGAGMCCGGCACGCUCUCUUCUCGACGGUUCAGACGAGCGCAUUUCUCCCGGACAGUGCGCCACGACCGAUUUCGGCCCCGUCAGAAGCGCGGAGCGGAAGGUGGCAGCGCUGCCUCCCUCCCUAACCGGGGGGAACCAAGGCACGUCGUUGCGUUACAGCCGUUCCGAGGCGGACGGUGGCGUUCGAGAUCGAGGACCGCUCUCUUCCCGUCGCGCGACGGCCCUGUGCCGGCAUCUCGCUAGACCGCGGCUCGUCACUGUUGUUUCGGCAGUGCCUGCYGGGUCUGACAGCGGGAUUGGUCGGCGAGGGUGUCUCGAUCGCGCGCGGGUCGGACAAAGCUAGGGUCUGUGGCGAUAUCCGUCGGCAACCCACCCGACCCGUCUUGAAACACGGACCAAGGAGACCAACAUGUGCGCGAGUCGUAGGGUCGUUCGAAACCCGAAGGCGCAAUGAAAGUGAAGGCCGCUGUCGCAGCGCUAGCCUAGGUGGGAUCCGUAGUGCCCGGCUCCCUGACCGGAGUCGCGUCGCGGCGCACCACCGGCCCGUCUCGAUCUGUUACCCGACCCAGACGAGGCGGAGCAAGAGCGUACACGUUGGGACCCGAAAGAUGGUGAACUAUGCCCGAGUAGGGCGAAGCCAGAGGAAACUCUGGUGGAAGUCCGCAGCGAUUCUGACGUGCAAAUCGAUCGUCGGACUUGGGUAUAGGGGCGAAAGACUAAU
rnacentral:rRNA from 1 species